GUGGCCGGGCAGCAGCGGCCGCGCCCUCCUUUUCCGGAUCCGGCGCCACCACUGCCCUGCCUCUCUUUCUCCUUUGGCCGACAGCAGCAGCCGUGGUGCUUCUGCCGCCGCGUCGCCACCGGAAAUAGAACAGGGACUGAGCGCCGCCUGCCGCCGCGCCGUUGCCGGCCGUGAGCAGCCGCCUCCUGUUCCUACCCGACACCUACAAUGACCAGCCGCCCCCAUCAAACUCCCAGCGACAAACGACGAGGUUGCUGCCGACAGCAACAACCAGCCGCACCGCCGUGGAAGCUCGCCGGGGAGCAGCGACAGCCGCUGACGACACUCGGUUCUCCCUCCUCAGAUCGACGGCAGCAAGGCCGCCGGCCGUCACCCCUCUUCGGUCUCCAGCGAGCAAAACAGACGGCCACCACCGCCGUCCGCCGACUCCUUCUCCACUCUUCACCGUGGCUAGGCAGCAACGGCAGAGCCGCAGCGCCUAGCCUCCCUCUCGACUCCAUUUUUCAAAAAUACAUCAAAAUUGGCAUGCUUCAUAUAUGUAUCUAUAUGCACAUAAAUUGUAUGUCUGAACACUUGGUGAUUUUAAGAAAUUGUUGUUCUUUAUGAAUGUGUAUACAUAUGCACCGAAAUGAUGAGAUGAAAGUAUGUGAA